rnacentral:rRNA from 1 species
AGAGUUUGGAUCCUGGCUCAGGAUGAACGCUAGCGGGAGGCCUAACACAUGCAAGUCGAACGGGAUUGGGAGCUUGCUCCCAUGAGAGUGGCGCACGGGUGAGUAACGCGUAUGCAACCUACCUUUAACAGAGGGAUAGCCCAUAGAAAUGUGGAUUAAUACCUUAUAGUUCUUUUUUCUCGCAUAAGGGGGAAGAUAAAGCAUUAGCGGUUAAAGAUGGGCAUGCGUGACAUUAGCUAGUUGGUGAGGUAACGGCUCACCAAGGCGACGAUGUCUAGGGGUUCUGAGAGGAUGAUCCCCCACACUGGUACUGAGACACGGACCAGACUCCUACGGGAGGCAGCAGUGAGGAAUAUUGGUCAAUGGGCGCAAGCCUGAACCAGCCAUCCCGCGUGCAGGAUGAAGGCCCUAUGGGUCGUAAACUGCUUUUAUACGCCAAGAAAAACACAGACGAGUCUGUGCCUGACGGUAGUGUAUGAAUAAGCAUCGGCUAACCCCGUGCCAGCAGCCGCGGUAAUACGGAGGAUGCAAGCGUUAUCCGGAUUCAUUGGGUUUAAAGGGUGCGUAGGCGGCUUUUUAAGUCAGUGGUGAAAUCUUGCCGCUUAACGGUAAAAUUGCCAUUGAUACUGAGGAGCU